UACGUAGGGGGCAAGCGUUGUCCGGAUUUAUUGGGCGUAAAGAGCGCGUAGGCGGCCAAACAGGUCAGCUGUGAAAACUCGAGGCUCAACCUCGAGACGUCGGUUGAAACCGUAUGGCUAGAGUCCGGAAGAGGAGAGUGGAAUUCCCGGUGUAGCGGUGAAAUGCGCAGAUAUCGGGAAGAACACCCGUGGCGAAGGCGGCUCUCUGGGACGGUACUGACGCUGAGACGCGAAAGCGUGGGGAGCAAACAGG
rnacentral:rRNA from 1 species